CAGUAGAAGAAAGCAAUCUAUUUCACCAUGAGUCUGGAACAGCUUUAACAAGUCUGAGAUACACAAUAGCAGCAAUUUCAACUUUGCUAGCACUCUAUUAUGCUGAAGUAUCUCAUGGUGGUUUGUGAUAGCAUUAAGAGUUCAUCUAUCCUAGAGGUUCAAUAGUUAAAAAUCAGUUCCGUAUCACUUUCAUUACAUUUGGUCUAAAAGCAGGUUAGUAAAGUAGUGGUACCUGUUUAUUUUUUAGACACCAUUAUAAAAUAAGAACCGACAACACGGAAAGAAGUAUCAUUAUGGAACAAGCUGACAUUUUAUAAAGGAAGCACAGUUGACUCUUGGACAACACGGAUUUGAACUGCACGGGUCCACUUACACAUGGAUUUUCUUCCGCCUCUGACAGCAAGACAAACUCCUCCUUUUCCGCCUCCUUCACCUCAGCCUAUUCAAUGGUAAGAUGAUGAGGAUGAAGACCUUUAUGAUAAAGAAUAGAGCAACUGGACAUCAGCAAAAAAGUGAAUCUUCACCAAAAACUCCCACCUUAUACAAAAAAUUAACUCAAACUGGACCACAGACUUAAUGUAAAACAUAAGACUAUAAAACUUUCAGAUAAAAACAGAAGAAAAGUUUUCAGGACCUAGAGCUACAAAACUAGUUCUUAGAAUUGAUGCCAAAAGCACAACCCACAAAGAAAAAUAAAUUGGACUUCAUCAAAACUAAAAGCCUUUGCUCAGCAAAAGACCCUAUUAAGCAGAUGAAAAGAGUAGCUGCAGACUGAGAGAAAACAUUUGCAAACUACUGCAUAUCCAACAAAGAGUAGCAUGUAGAAUAUAUUUACAAAUUCUCAAAACUCAAUUAUUAAAAAAAAACAAUUAGAAAGUGGGUGCUCUAGUUUCAAUAUGGUUUGUUUGACCCCUCCAAAUCUCAUGUUGAAAUCUGAUCCCCAGUGUUGGAGGUGGGGCCUAACGUGAGGUGUUUGGUUCACAGGGAUGGGAUCAUUCACAAAUGGCUUGGUAUCAUCCUUGCAGUAAUAAGUGAGUUCUUGGUCUAUUAGAUUCAGUGAGAGCUAGUUGUGAAAAAGAGCCUGGCAUCUCUCCUCCCACCCCUCACCACAUGACCUCUGUGCACACUGGCUCCCCUUUGCCUUCUGCCAUGAGUGGAAGCAGCUGGAGGCCAUCACCAGAAGCAGAUGCUGGUGCCAUGCUUCUUGUACAAGCUGUAGAACCAUGAGCCAAAUAAACCUCUUUUCUUUACAAAUUACCCAGCUUCAGAUAUUCCUUCAUAGCAACAAAAAACCAGACUAACACAAUGGGCAAGACACUGAACAGGUAUUUCACAAAAAAGGAUAUACAGAUGGAAAAUAAGCACAUUAAGAGAUCUUUGACAACAUCAGCCAUUAAGGAAAUGCAAAUUAAAGCCAUAAUGAGAUAUCACCAUACAUCUAUUAAAAUGGCUAAAAUAAAAAUAACAGCAACACCAAAGGCUGGCAAGGACGCAGAAAAACUAAAAGGCCCCACCUCAAUUCUGCCCUUGUAAGAGGCAUAGGAAAUUGAACAAACCCCUAGGCCAAAAAUCAGAAAGAAGCACAUCAUAGGCAUCCAUUAAAUGGUUGUUAAAUAAACAAAUUACACUUGUCUAAAGCCAAAUAUUCACUUUUAUGGAAUCAUAAGGUAAGCCAAUUAUGAGCUCUCAAAAAGCUCAUUUUGAAUAAAGAAUUAAACAUAAAUUCAAAAAUAUCUAUAAAUACUUGAAAUCUGAACUAAUACAACAUAUGACCCUAAAGGGAGUGCCCUAAACUAAGUCCUAAGUCAUUUGAGCAGUGUGUCUUAUCUUCUAGGAUUCUGGGGGAAGAUAGGGAAUUAAGGCAAGGGUGGGACUCACCAUAACACAGAUGAGUUCUGGGUUGUGUUAUGGUCUGAAUGUUUGUGUCCCUCAAAAUUAAUAUGUUGAAACCCUAAUCCCUAAUGUGAUGGUAUUUGAAGAUAGGGCCUUUGGGAAGUAAU
rnacentral:lncRNA from 1 species